AACGAACGCUGGCGGCAGGCUUAACACAUGCAAGUCGAACGCCCCGCAAGGGGAGUGGCAGACGGGUGAGUAACGCGUGGGAAUCUACCCAUCUCUGCGGAAUAGCUCUGGGAAACUGGAAUUAAUACCGCAUACGCCCUACGGGGGAAAGGUUUAUCGGGGAUGGAUGAGCCCGCGUUGGAUUAGCUAGUUGGUGGGGUAAAGGCCUACCAAGGCGACGAUCCAUAGCUGGUCUGAGAGGAUGAUCAGCCACAUUGGGACUGAGACACGGCCCAAACUCCUACGGGAGGCAGCGGUGGGGAAUAUUGGACAAUGGGCGCAAGACUGAUCCAGCCAUGCCGCGUGAGUGAUGAAGGCCUUAGGGUUGUAAAGCUCUUUCACCGAUGAAGAUAAUGACGGUAGUCGGAGAAGAAGCCCCGGCUAACUUCGUGCCAGCCGCCGCCGUAA
rnacentral:rRNA from 1 species